CAGGGAGGAGCAGCUUCCGUGGGAAGAGUGUGGUGCGUGCCCCACGCACCCUGCAUGCACUCAGCCUGUUGGAGUCCACUCCCUGGCGCAGUCCACUGUCGUGAUACGCACACCUGGAGCAGAUAUGGAAACUGACAGGCUAAGGAACUUGAGAAGUUAUGCUGAAGACCCAAGACACAAUGGAAUGACAAUUCAAAUCCUGAGCUCUUUAAGUUUUCUUCCCCAACACAAAAUAAGACAUUACUGAGUGACAGAGGCCACACUGAAGCUGAUCUCUGAUUCAUACAUCCAGGUUGAUUCUGCAGGACAGCCCUGGCCCUGGUUGAUCACCAUUCAAUUAGAAGCGUGAGUGUGGGGCUGGCCGGCACAUUUGGGCAGAGGACCCUGCACAACAUGCUUGAGGAUGACUGACCUGUGACACCUAGAAGGACAUGUGUGCAGUCUGAGGUUGGACAGGCAGGCAAGAGACAGGAGCCGGCCUCGGGGUCCUGGGGACACCAGGUGUGCCCGGUAUGCCCUCUUCACUGCUGCACCAGGGGUGCAACGUGUGAGGUAAUGGAAACUGUCAGAUCCAAGUCUCUAUGUCCCUCCGAAACCUCUUGUUAUGUGGUUUGAGUCAAAGGUGUACAGAGCCCUGGUUCUCCCCUCUACGAAAUGGGAAUAAUAUACAUUUGCUAGGGCUGCUUCCAGAACCAGAUUUGUAGGUGAGAACAGCGAUACAGGACAAGGGACACGGGGUCGCUGGUCCAAAGAGGACACUGGGUGCAGGCGCGGGUCCAGAGCCCACCAGGAAGCUGAGGCUCCGCCCUUCCAAGCCUGCUGCUUCCAGGGACAACGCCCGUGGAGGUGACGAUCGCCCUAUAAGGCGUUAUGAUGCCCCC